rnacentral:lncRNA from 1 species
CUUGUAUCGUGGUCCUCUUCGUUUCCCCCUUUCCAGCAGAUGAUUUGGUUUUGACUUGCAGGCUGUGUAAGUUUUAGGUCAGGAUUUUUCCUUUGGGCAGCCCACUCUGCGCCCCUGCACUCAGCAGCAGCUCUCUCCUGGUGAUUCGUCCUUUAAUGGUGUUGCAAGGAGCUCACCGUGCUGGCUGAAAAUGAAGCUGCAUUUUUCUCUGAGCAGCUCGUUGGGCCGAGGUGAGGGUGAGGAGCCCUGCCCCUGCAAAUGGAGUGCAGUGGGCACCUUCCUGUGGCGUGCCCAAAGUUGGCAAGAAGAUACUGUAAAUAAGGAUCCCUGCGAGUAAAUAGAUAUGUGUGGAGAGG